GUGGAUCCGACGCGUGCACGUUAUGAAGCGAAGAUCAGCAUGUGCGAUGGAGUUGACCCCUACACGUUGUGCGCCGGUACUGACACGACGACGGCAGUGGAGCUAUACUACCGGUUACGACGCAUGCCGACAUCGUGAACUAUUUGGUGCUGCGGACGAACCACGUAUCGCUCACCGAAAUGAAAGCUUACAAGUCACUUGAGGCUCACAACUACUUCACCAGUGGCCGUGUGAGCGGCGUGACAGCAAAGCGGGUACCCUCCAAGCGCGUCAUCGUGUUGAGCGAGGUAAAAAAGUUCCAGUAUGACUACAC
rnacentral:lncRNA from 1 species